GACACACCUGAUUCCCAUCAGCCAUUACGGAUGGUAUAUCAGCGGAGGCUCCACAACCUGUCAGCGCCAGAUCGUUGUUAAACCCCAGUGGAUUACGCUUCAGUGGAUUACGUUCCAGUGGAUUAAAACUCCGGAGGAUACUCUUCAGUGGAUUACGCUCCAGUGGAUACUCUCCAGCCGGAUUAUCUCCUCCAAAUAAAACCUUUGUAACACAC